rnacentral:rRNA from 1 species
ACGAACGCUGGCGGCGUGCCUAAUACAUGCAAGUCGAACGGUCUUUCUAUGGAAGCUUGCUUCCACUGAGAAGAUAGUGGCGAACGGGUGAGUAACACGUGGGUAACCUGCCCAUAAGAGGGGGAUAACAUCCGGAAACGGGUGCUAAUACCGCAUAGUUUCUUGAUCGCAUGAUUGAGAAAGGAAAGACGGCCUUUGUGCUGUCGCUUAUGGAUGGACCCGCGGCGUAUUAGUUAGUUGGUGAGGUAAUGGCUCACCAAGACGAUGAUACGUAGCCGACCUGAGAGGGUGAUCGGCCACAUUGGGACUGAGACACGGCCCAAACUCCUACGGGAGGCAGCAGUAGGGAAUCUUCCGCAAUGGACGAAAGUCUGACGGAGCAACGCCGCGUGAGUGAAGAAGGUUUUCGGGAAUCGUAAAACUCUGUUGUCAGAGAAGAACAAGUUGGAGAGUAACUGCUCCAGCCUUGACGGUAUCUGACCAGAAAGCCACGGCUAACUACGUGCCAGCAGCAGC